rnacentral:rRNA from 1 species
UACGUAGGGGGCAAGCGUUGUCCGGAUUUAUUGGGCGUAAAGAGCGUGUAGGCGGCCUGAAAGGUCAGCUGUGAAAACUCGAGGCUCAACCUCGAGACGUCGGUUGAAACCAUCUGGCUAGAGUCCGGAAGAGGAGAGUGGAAUUCCCGGUGUAGCGGUGGAAUGCGCAGAUAUCAGGAGGAACACCAAUAGCGAAGGCAGCUCGCUGGGACGUUACUGACACUGAGGCGCGAAAGCGUGGGGAGCGAACAGG